UGAGGAAUAUUGCGCAAUGGGCGAAAGCCUGACGCAGCGACGCCGCGUGAAGGAUGAAGGUCUUCGGAUUGUAAACUUCUGUUAAGUGGGAAGAAAGAGUUGUCCCUAAUAUGGACAAAAUAUGACGGUACCAUUAGAGAAAGCACCGGCUAACUUCGUGCCAGCAGCCGCGGUAAUACGAGGGGUGCAAGCGUUAUUCGGAAUCAUUGGGCGUAAAGGGUGCGUAGACGGCUAUUCAAGUCAACUGUUUAAUUCUCCGGCCUAACUGGAGACCAGCGGUAGAUACUGAAUGGCUUGAGGUUGGAAGAGAGAAGUGGAAUUCUCGGAGUAGCGGUAAAAUGCGUAGAUCUCGAGAGGAACACCGAUGGCGAAGGCAGCUUCUUAGUCCAAAUCUGACGUUGAGGCACGAAAGCGUGGGGAGCAAACAGGAUUAGAUACCCUGGUAGUCCACGCCGUAAACGAUGAUCACUAGACGUUAACUCUGCUUGCAG
rnacentral:rRNA from 1 species